UACGAAGGGGGCGAGCGUUGUUCGGAUUUACUGGGCGUAAAGGGCGCGCAGGCGGCUCAUUUUGUCAGGCGUGAAAGCCCCGGGCUUAACCUGGGAACUGCGUUUGAUACGGAUGGGCUAGAGUUCGGGAGAGGAGAGUGGAAUUCCCAGUGUAGAGGUGAAAUUCGUAGAUAUUGGGAAGAACACCGGUGGCGAAGGCGGGUCUCUGGGCCGAUAUUGACGCUGAGGAGCGAAAGCGUGGGGAGCGAACAGG
rnacentral:rRNA from 1 species